UGUAAGCGUAUACCAAAGUUGUUGCAGUUAAAACGCUCGUAGUCGGAAUUUGGCAGUUCCGGAAGUGUGCACGUCGUGUGCGCACUUUGCGGGGACUGCUUUUGUGGUCUUGCGUAGGAUGAGGCACUUUCAUUAGUGAACGUCCUCACGCAACCACUCUUUACUGUGAGAAAAUCAGAGUGCUCAAAGCAGGCAUUUGCCGUGAAUGUAUUAGCAUGGAAUAAUAGAAUAGGACUCGGUUCUAUGUUGUUGGUUUGUUGGGACUGAGUAAUGAUUAAGAGGGACAGUUGGGGGCAUUUGUAUUCCGGCGCUAGAGGUGAAAUUCUUAGAUUGCCGGAAGACAAACUGCUGCGAAAGCGUCUGCCAAGGAUGUUUUCAUUGA
rnacentral:rRNA from 1 species